UACGUAGGGUGCGAGCGUUAAUCGGAAUUACUGGGCGUAAAGCGUGCGCAGGCGGUUUUGUAAGCCAGAUGUGAAAUCCCCGGGCUUAACCUGGGAAUGGCAUUCGGGACUGCAAGGCUGGAGUGCGGCAGAAGAGACUGGAAUUCCUGGUGUAGCAGUGAAAUGCGUAGAUAUCAGGAGGAACACCGAUGGCGAAGGCAGGUCUCUGGGCUGACACUGACGCUCAUGCACGAAAGCGUGGGGAGCAAACAGG
rnacentral:rRNA from 1 species